GAGUAACACGUGGGCAACCUGCCUGUAAGACUGGGAUAACUUGGGGAAACCGGAGCUAAUACCGGAUAAUCCUUUCCCUCACAUGAGGGAAAGCUGAAAGACGGUUUCGGCUGUCACUUACAGAUGGGCCCGCGGCGCAUUAGCUAGUUGGUGAGGUAAUGGCUCACCAAGGCAACGAUGCGUAGCCGACCUGAGAGGGUGAUCGGCCACACUGGGACUGAGACACGGCCCAGACUCCUACGGGAGGCAGCAGUAGGGAAUCUUCCGCAAUGGACGAAAGUCUGACGGAGCAACGCCGCGUGAGCGAUGAAGGCCUUCGGGUCGUAAAGCUCUGUUGUCAGGGAAGAACAAGUAUCGGAGUAACUGCCGGUACCUUGACGGUACCUGACCAGAAAGCCACGGCUAACUACGUGCCAGCAGCCGCGGUAAUACGUAGGUGGCAAGCGUUGUCCGGAAUUAUUGGGCGUAAAGCGCGCGCAGGCGGUUCCUUAAGUCUGAUGUGAAAGCCCCCGGCUCAACCGGGGAGGGUCAUUGGAAACUGGGGAACUUGAGUGCAGAAGAGGAGAGCGGAAUUCCACGUGUAGCGGUGAAAUGCGUAGAGAUGUGGAGGAACACCAGUGGCGAAGGCGGCUCUCUGGUCUGUAACUGACGCUGAGGCGCGAAAGCGUGGGGAGCGAACAGGAUUAGAUACCCUGGUAGUCCACGCCGUAAACGAUGAGUGCUAAGUGUUAGAGGGUUUCCGCCCUUUAGUGCUGCAGCAAACGCAUUAAGCACUCCGCCUGGGGAGUACGGCCGCAAGGCUGAAACUCAAAGGAAUUGACGGGGGCCCGCACAAGCGGUGGAGCAUGUGGUUUAAUUCGAAGCAACGCGAAGAACCUUACCAGGUCUUGACAUCCUCUGACAACCCUAGAGAUAGGGCUUUCCCCUUCGGGGGACAGAGUGACAGGUGGUGCAUGGUUGUCGUCAGCUCGUGUCGUGAGAUGUUGGGUUAAGUCCCGCAACGAGCGCAACCCUUGAUCUUAGUUGCCAGCAUUAAGUUGGGCACUCUAAGGUGACUGCCGGUGACAAACCGGAGGAAGGUGGGGAUGACGUCAAAUCAUCAUGCCCCUUAUGACCUGGGCUACACACGUGCUACAAUGGAUGGAACAAAGGGCAGCGAAGCCGCGAGGUGAAGCCAAUCCCAUAAAACCAUUCUCAGUUCGGAUUGCAGGCUGCAACUCGCCUGCAUGAAGCCGGAAUCGCUAGUAAUCGCGGAUCAGCAUGCCGCGGUGAAUACGUUCCCGGGCCUUGUACACACCGCCCGUCACACCACGAGAGUUUGUAACACCCGAAGUCGGUGGGGUAACCUUUUGGAGCCAGCC
rnacentral:rRNA from 1 species